rnacentral:rRNA from 1 species
AGAGUUUGAUCCUGGCUCAGGAUGAACGCUAGCGACAGGCUUAACACAUGCAAGUCGAGGGGCAGCAUGAUUUGUAGCAAUACAGAUUGAUGGCGACCGGCGCACGGGUGAGUAACGCGUAUGCAACUUACCUAUCAGAGGGGGAUAACCCGGCGAAAGUCGGACUAAUACCGCAUGAAGCAGGGAUCCCGCAUGGGAAUAUUUGCUAAAGAUUCAUCGCUGAUAGAUAGGCAUGCGUUCCAUUAGGCAGUUGGCGGGGUAACGGCCCACCAAACCGACGAUGGAUAGGGGUUCUGAGAGGAAGGUCCCCCACAUUGGUACUGAGACACGGACCAAACUCCUACGGGAGGCAGCAGUGAGGAAUAUUGGUCAAUGGCCGAGAGGCUGAACCAGCCAAGUCGCGUGAAGGAAGAAGGAUCUAUGGUUUGUAAACUUCUUUUAUAGGGGAAUAAAGUGGAGGACGUGUCCUUUUUUGUAUGUACCCUAUGAAUAAGCAUCGGCUAACUCCGUGCCAGCAGCCGCGGUAAUACGGAGGAUGCGAGCGUUAUCCGGAUUUAUUGGGUUUAAAGGGUGCGUAGGUGGUGAUUUAAGUCAGCGGUGAAAGUUUGUGGCUCAACCAUAAAAUUGCCGUUGAAACUGGGUUACUUGAGUGUGUUUGAGGUAGGCGGAAUGCGUGGUGUAGCGGUGAAAUGCAUAGAUAUCACGCAGAACUCCGAUUGCGAAGGCAGCUUACUAAACCAUAACUGACACUGAAGCACGAAAGCGUGGGGAUCAAACAGGAUUAGAUACCCUGGUAGUCCACGCAGUAAACGAUGAUCACUAGCUGUUUGCGAUACACUGUAAGCGGCACAGCGAAAGCGUUAAGUGAUCCACCUGGGGAGUACGCCGGCAACGGUGAAACUCAAAGGAAUUGACGGGGGCC